AGAGUUUGAUCAUGGCUCAGAUUGAACGCUGGCGGCAGGCCUAACACAUGCAAGUCGAGCGGUAGCACAGAGAGCUUGCUCUCGGGUGACGAGCGGCGGACGGGUGAGUAAUGUCUGGGAAACUGCCUGAUGGAGGGGGAUAACUACUGGAAACGGUAGCUAAUACCGCAUAACGUCGCAAGACCAAAGUGGGGGACCUUCGGGCCUCAUGCCAUCAGAUGUGCCCAGAUGGGAUUAGCUAGUAGGUGGGGUAACGGCUCACCUAGGCGACGAUCCCUAGCUGGUCUGAGAGGAUGACCAGCCACACUGGAACUGAGACACGGUCCAGACUCCUACGGGAGGCAGCAGUGGGGAAUAUUGCACAAUGGGCGCAAGCCUGAUGCAGCCAUGCCGCGUGUGUGAAGAAGGCCUUCGGGUUGUAAAGCACUUUCAGCGGGGAGGAAGGCGAUAAGGUUAAUAACCUUGUCGAUUGACGUUACCCGCAGAAGAAGCACCGGCUAACUCCGUGCCAGCAGCCGCGGUAAUACGGAGGGUGCAAGCGUUAAUCGGAAUUACUGGGCGUAAAGCGCACGCAGGCGGUCUGUCAAGUCGGAUGUGAAAUCCCCGGGCUCAACCUGGGAACUGCAUUCGAAACUGGCAGGCUAGAGUCUUGUAGAGGGGGGUAGAAUUCCAGGUGUAGCGGUGAAAUGCGUAGAGAUCUGGAGGAAUACCGGUGGCGAAGGCGGCCCCCUGGACAAAGACUGACGCUCAGGUGCGAAAGCGUGGGGAGCAAACAGGAUUAGAUACCCUGGUAGUCCACGCCGUAAACGAUGUCGAUUUGGAGGUUGUGCCCUUGAGGCGUGGCUUCCGGAGCUAACGCGUUAAAUCGACCGCCUGGGGAGUACGGCCGCAAGGUUAAAACUCAAAUGAAUUGACGGGGGCCCGCACAAGCGGUGGAGCAUGUGGUUUAAUUCGAUGCAACGCGAAGAACCUUACCUGGUCUUGACAUCCACAGAACUUUCCAGAGAUGGAUUGGUGCCUUCGGGAACUGUGAGACAGGUGCUGCAUGGCUGUCGUCAGCUCGUGUUGUGAAAUGUUGGGUUUAGUCCCGCAACGAGCGCAACCCUUAUCCUUUGUUGCCAGCGGUCCGGCCGGGAACUCAAAGGAGACUGCCAGUGAUAAACUGGAGGAAGGUGGGGAUGACGUCAAGUCAUCAUGGCCCUUACGACCAGGGCUACACACGUGCUACAAUGGCAUAUACAAAGAGAAGCGACCUCGCGAGAGCAAGCGGACCUCAUAAAGUAUGUCGUAGUCCGGAUUGGAGUCUGCAACUCGACUCCAUGAAGUCGGAAUCGCUAGUAAUCGUAGAUCAGAAUGCUACGGUGAAUACGUUCCCGGGCCUUGUACACACCGCCCGUCACACCAUGGGAGUGGGUUGCAAAAGAAGUAGGUAGCUUAACCUUCGGGAGGGCGCUUACCACUUUGUGAUUCAUGACUGGGGUGAAGUCGUAACAAGGUAACCGUAGGGGAACCUGCGGUUGGAUCACCU
rnacentral:rRNA from 1 species